rnacentral:rRNA from 1 species
CCUACGGGAGGCAGCAGUGGGGAAUAUUGGACAAUGGGCGAAAGCCUGAUCCAGCCAUGCCGCGUGUGUGAAGAAGGCCUUCGGGUUGUAAAGCACUUUCAGUGGGGAAGAAAGCCUUGGGGCUAAUACCCUCGAGGAAGGACAUCACCCACAGAAGAAGCACCGGCUAACUCCGUGCCAGCAGCCGCGGUAAUACGGAGGUUGCGAGCGUUAAUCGGAAUUACUGGGCGUAAAGCGCGCGUAGGCGGUCUGAUAAGCCGGUUGUGAAAGCCCCGGGCUCAACCUGGGAACGGCAUCCGGAACUGUCAGGCUAGAGUGCAGGAGAGGAAGGUAGAAUUCCCGGUGUAGCGGUGAAAUGCGUAGAGAUCGGGAGGAAUACCAGUGGCGAAGGCGGCCUUCUGGACUGACACUGACGCUGAGGUGCGAAAGCGUGGGUAGCAAACAGGAUUAGAUACCCGUGUAGUC